UGUCUGUGUGUGUGUGUGUCUGUCUGUCUGUCUGUCUGUGUGUGUGUGUGUGUCUGUGUGUGUGUGUGUGUGUGUGUGUGCACAAACAAUAAACGUUGUUUCUUCCUCCUCAGCUUCUGCUCCUCUUCACAUCAUCUCCUCCUCUGUGAUGCCUCCUCCUCCUCCACCUCCUCCUCCCUCUAUCAUCACAUCGUCCCCCCGCCUCCCCGCCCCCCCCUCGCCUCUGAUGGCUCAGGCUCCGCCCCUCAUCCUGACGCAGACGGCAGGUGGAACAUUCUUCCUCCCAGCAGCCACUGGGGCAGGGAGAGCCCCGCCCAUCCUCCUCACCACGCAGGGGUUCCCGGUGCAGACGGUGAUGAACCGCGGCGCCCCCCUGCUGUUGAACCUGCAGCCCGGUCAGACGGUCCAGCCGCUCACUCUGAUCCAGUCCCCGGCGUUGGGUCAGCUGGUCCGGCCCGGUGUGGGCGUGUCCCCGGUCCUCCCCCAGGGCCAGGGGGUCCAGACCAGGCCAGGCCCCGCCCCUUCCAGAGGAGCGCCGCUGCCUGGCUCCGCCUUCACCGCCAUGCAGUUGCCCGCUACGCUAACCAUCCGCACUAGCACGCCAGGACCCGGUCCGUCACAUGGGACAUACACGCACUUCUGAUCAGAUUGAUUGAUUGAUUGAUUGAUUGAUAUAUUGAUUGAUCUGUUGUGUUUUCCAGUUAACCUGCAG
rnacentral:lncRNA from 15 species